GCGGGUAUAGUUUAGUGGUAAAACCAAGCUAACGAUGCGGGUUCGAUUCCCGCUAUCCGC
rnacentral:tRNA from 1 species